AUUGAACGCUGGCGGCAGGCCUAACACAUGCAAGUCGAGCGGGGUUUUCGGACCUAGCGGCGGACGGGUGAGUAAUGCGUAGGAAGCUGCCCGAUAGAGGGGGAUACCAGUUGGAAACGACUGUUAAUACCGCAUAAUGUCUACGGACCAAAGUGUGGGACCUUCGGGCCACAUGCUAUCGGAUGCGCCUACGUGGGAUUAGCUAGUUGGUGAGGUAAUGGCUCACCAAGGCGACGAUCUCUAGCUGGUUUGAGAGGAUGAUCAGCCAAACUGGAACUGAGAACCGGUCCAGACUCCUACGGGAGGCAGCAGUGGGGAAUAUUGGACAAUGGGCGCAAGCCUGAUCCAGCCAUGCCGCGUGUGUGAAGAAGGCCUUCGGGUUGUAAAGCACUUUCAGUAGGGAGGAAGGGUGUUGUGUUAAUAGCACAGCAUUUUGACGUUACCUACAGAAGAAGCACCGGCUAACUCUGUGCCAGCCGCCGCGGUAACAC
rnacentral:rRNA from 1 species